AUCUAUAUAGUUUAAAUAAAACAAUACAUUUUCAAUGUAAAAAUGAUAUAAAUCUAAUUAUCUACAGAUA
rnacentral:tRNA from 1 species